rnacentral:rRNA from 1 species
GACAGAGGGGGCGAGCGUUGUCCGGAGUCACUGGGCGUAAAGCGCACGUAGGCGGACUCUUAAGUCAGGGGUGAAAGCCUGAGGCUCAACCUCAGAAUUGCCUUUGAUACUGGGAGUCUUGAGUGUGACAGAGGUUGGUGGAACUGCGAGUGUAGAGGUGAAAUUCGUAGAUAUUCGCAAGAACACCAGUGGCGAAGGCGGCCAACUGGGUCAUGACUGACGCUGAGGUGCGAAAGCGUGGGGAGCAAACAGG